GAGGGCGGGCGUCGGGCAGCGGCCUUGGGGGCGGCUCCUCAGGGCCAGACAGGCAGGCCCGGCUGCAGGGCCAACAGACGCCGCCGCCAGCCUGGGACGGACGGACAGACAGUGCAUUGAACUCAGUUGCCUCACGGGAUGAGCUUCUAAACGCUGCAGGAUGUGGGGAAGAAAGGGAAUGAAGGAGCAGAUGUUCCAGCCCUGGAAGUGCUACAUCUGCCAAAUACCGGACAGGGAGAUGGUGGAAGUGACACCACUUUGCUCCAGCCAUUUUGUGAGUAUUGCAGCUCCACCUCUCACCGCAGUCUACCUACUUAAGUGUUCUAAGUUUGCUGACUAGAGACAAAUUAAGCUGUUGCUCUACUGGCAACUGUUCUGUAAUUAUGUUUAUUUUAUGCCUGGGGUGGUGUUUUAUUGUUCUGUGUAACAUCAUUAUCAAUUACAUAUGUCAUGCUUCUUCCAAGUUAGCAUCUGUGGAAUAAUCAAAAAUUAAAUUGUGUCUGAAACAGCUGA